rnacentral:rRNA from 1 species
AAUGAACGUUGGCGGCGUGGAUUAGGCAUGCAAGUCGAGCGAGAACCCGCAAGGGGGACAGCGGCGAACGGGGUAGGACAACGUAGGUAACGUACCCUCGGGGCGAGGACAGCCACGGGAAACUGUGGGUAAUACUCGAUAAACUUCCAAUCAUUAUGGAAGGGAAGCAAUGGGUGUGAUUCCACCUGAGGAGCGGCUUACGCAGUAUCAGCUAGUUGGUGAGGUAACGGCUCACCAAGGCUACGACGCUUAGGGGGUGUGAGAGCAUGGCCCCCACCACUGGCACUGAGACACUGGCCAGACACCUACGGGUGGCUGCAGUCGAGAAUCUUCGGCAAUGGACGCAAGUCUGACCGAGCGACGCCGCGUGCGGAUGAAGGCCUGGUUGUAACCGCCGUCAGAGGGAGUGAAGUAUACGGGAGUUAGUCUCCUGUAUUUGACAGAGCCGUCAGACGGAAGACACGGGCUAAGUUCGUG